GUCUAUUUGCUUCAUUGAAAUUGAACUUCUGGGGCGGUGGUGCGAAGAAAAUCGGGAGCAGUAAGAGGCUAGACAAAUCUACUAGCAACAGACGCUUCACUAGCCACUCACCCCUGACCCUCUCCCCAUCACCCCACUGGUGCCAGUGACAGAGGACAGCAGAGACUCUAUGCCUGGGACACUAGGAUAAGAGAGUGGGCCCAAGAUAUAUUCUCUCUGCCUUCUCCAUAAACUCACCGCGCAUUGCCUGAGGGCUCCGGGAUCUCAGUCUGCAUUGAUCGGAGCCCCCAUUCCAGAAAGCAGGCCAGGAAACAGGCAAACAAGAAGAAGCCACUCAAGGCUCCUGCAAAGAGACACACAGCUGUUGUGUCUAAACGGUUGUCAUCAUGGCUGGAUCGGAUACCAGAGUGACCUUAUCAUGCACCUUUGGGUUCCAGGUUCUUCAAUCUCCAGUCAACAACAACCUGAGGCAGCCCAGACCCCAAAAGCAGCCUGCCAGGAGCGCCUGGACUCUGCAUAGCAAGGAGUCACAGACGCUGCUCACACCCCAGCCAGCCCCGUGACCCUACACCCCUCUCCGACCACGUCUCAAGAGUUUCCUGCUUGCUCACCUGUCUCCAAGGACUGCAGCGAGGAGUGGCUGAGACCACGCGUUUCGCCGAGUGGGACACAGCAUCUUCCAUUGUGAAAGCAUCUCUGGAUGAGCGAUUAGUUUCAAUCAUCCUUGAAUCCCAGAAAUUAACAUGGUUCCCGACAUGUGGCAGGUGCUCACUCUGAAUCGAGUGAAUGCUUCCACUAGAAGGCUACACUCACCUGGCCUUGUCAUUCCCCGUGAGAUGUGAGUCAGGCUGUGAAGCCUGAGUGAAGUAGGUGCUGGGGGAUUGCGGGGGGAGGCGUAUGUUGUUCUCAGCUAGAGGUCGGACAAGAUUGUUUCUCUGUCCCUUCAGAGCAUUGCCAGUGGACAGACUAAUGGGAGCUGUGAACAGUAGGGCACAAAUCGAAUCCAUGCUGCCCUGGGACAGUCCCAGGGCCUAGCUAAGGCUACUGCAGCAGAGCGUGUGGGAUCUUGGGCAUACAGACACACGUGCCAGGCAUGCGUUUCAAGGUGCCAGAGACAGGAUCCGAGCCUCGGUUGGCCAUGCAGGAUCCGACUCCCUAUGCACAGUGCUUGACCACCACUACAGGGCCAGCCCGACAUUUUAAAAUGUCAGGACAUAUUGGGAUCAUACUACAUGUAUAGUUCCAUACUUUCCAGUCACUGUUCUGUCCUGGCAGUGGAGUAGGAUGCCAUGCACAGCUCUGCCCAUUCUUCUUGCCCUCCUUUGCUCCUAUGAUGCCUGCGUUCUAGGUGUUGACCAAGGCCACCUCGUUGGUGUCAGGCUUGAACUCCUUGUUCAAUUUACAGACUCCAGGCUGGCCAUCAGGCUGGAGCUGAGGCUGCCGCCCAACCUGUGGCUCCCUUCCCAGCUGUGGUGCGUGCCUGUCCCCUCACUGCCUGCGCCUUGCUAGUGCCCUUUCUCCUGGUGUAACCACGCCCCUAGCUCCCCUCUUCUCAGCCAGGUGGGAGAUGGCAGGCAUGCCUGGGCUGGAGCAGACAGUGCUGACCCUCCAACUCUGGGGUUCUUUGGUGAAAUGUUCUCCGUGGAGGAAGGACACUUGGUGUUACCCCUCUGAACAGCCUUCAGCCACUGGAUCAGACGUUUUGGUCUUUCGGAAGGAGCCUGUGAAAGGAGACCACAUGCCCUUCUAGGCAGAGCAGUUCGCAGCCACACAGCAGGGCACCAUCGUGGGACUCAACCCAGUGUGCCACCCACAGCCAGCAGACCACCCCCAAAUACAAUAAUUAAUAGCUAAGAAACAUUCCAUCCUGGAAGUACUAUUAUGGCAUAGUUUCCUGCUGUUAAAUGUUUAAAUUGUUCAGUUUUUUAUAUCAGCAAAUAAUUCUGAGUAUCUUAGUUCAUCGGCGUCUCCAC